rnacentral:misc_RNA from 1 species
CAGUUCUGAAAAGUAUUCCAAUACUCAUAGUUAAAAGCCCACAAAUUUUAAUUAGUCUUUUUAUCCAUGUUUUUGACAAGUUGUUUCAUCUGAAACCUCCAAAAGAAGAAAUAGGCCAGGCCCAAACCAAUCAACACAAACAUCCAUAUAUUCUCAUUCUCACUCUCCCUGCCCGACUUCACUUGCUUUAUUUGAAACCACUCCCUCCCCCCGUUUCCCAUUAUACCCUCCAACACACUCCCAUAUAACACAUACACCCUUUCCUCUCUGCCCACUACCACUGAAGUGGGGAAUCUUUCCCUAUCAAGGUCAAUCUUGUCAUAAACAACUCCCUCGCCCCAGCUAUCAUUGCUCAUCAAAAACCAAAGCUGGUUUUGGGACACUACUAAAACGGCGCCGUCUUUUCUUUUGGAGAUCCCAUCGGCUAAGUGCAAAUCUUCGUUCAACAAGACCGUCCUCGCCGUGCCAUCCUCCGCGUCCACCUUGAACAUUUUCCCCGUGUUGGUUUGCACCACCAGUAGAAAACCCUUGCUGUCAUAAGCAAUCCCGUUAAGGCCGCAGUAGCUAAACGGUGCGUUGCGGUCCACUGGAUACAGCGUGAAAAUUGGAGAUCUGGAGAAAAUGGACACCUCUCCUCCAGCAUUGACUUUCCAGAUGAAAUUCCCUUCGGAGUUGCCUAAGGAAUUGGUGACGUAAGCGUUUCCCUUGAAAUCAACAGCUACGGCAUUGGCGACGAACCGAGGUGAAAUACUUGCGUCGGCGUCGGGUAGGAGAGAGAGAAAGAGGCGUUGCCGGGUGCCAAGGUCAUAGGCGGCGAGGGCGUUGAAGGGAGGAG